rnacentral:tRNA from 2 species
GGCCGGUUGGCCCAAUUGGUAAGGCGUCUGACUACGAUCAUAGUAGCACACACGCCUUGUGCUCUCUGUUGUAUCAUCAGGAGAUUCUGGGUUCGAGCCCCAGGCUGGUCA